ACUUCCGGGAGCCAUGAUGAGUCAGGAAUCUCGACCGGGAGCUUCUACACCACAAGCGUCCCAGCCUGUGCUCACUCAGCAGCUAUAAACACACACACACACACACACACUCACCCACACACACACGCUGUCUCUGCCUCGCUCUCUCACUUUUUCCUCUGUCUCCACUGAGGUGACCCACAUCUCGCACUGAGCUGAGGCUGAGUGAGAACAUAACACGCGCACACUCCGGAAUACUCACACACAGCCACUCACACACACGGAAAACUCAAAGAUCAAGAAGAAAAAUGAGUCGAACUCUACCGCACAUGAAGCCUUUCAAUGCUACAAAGACAGGAACCAGUGCACAGCUUGAGCUCUCGGCUGCGGUGGGUUCAAAGGCCCCCCGGUGCACCCUGCGCAGGUUCCUCCUCCUGAAGUACAUCCAGACACUGCUGCUGCCGCUGGGCAACGAGCUGCUGCUGGCUGCGGGCGCGCUGGCCAGCCUGCACACCCUCCUGGUGCUCACCUCACCGUGCCUCUCUCGCAAGGCCUCCACCGUGCUGCUGGGCCAGCUGGCCUGGGCUGAUGGACUGCUGCUGCUGCGCUGGGGCCUGGACCUAGAGUCGGGGCUUGGGCUGGGAAAGGUGUGGCUCUCCUGAGUGGUGUGGAGGCGACACCCUGGCUUAAGAGCGGCCUGCUGGAGGCCCAUCACCUCAGCAGCCUGCUGCUGCUGAGCUGCGUGAGUCUGGAGGCGCUGCUGGUGAGCCGCUGGGCCGAGGAGUCCCGACACCUGCGGACGGUGCAGGGAGCUCGACUUGCCAGUGCCCUCAUCUGGACUGGGGUGGCAUUGCAGCUAGCAGUGCAGUUGGUGGGACACUGUGCACAGACAUCAAAGGCGGAGGGGGGGUCAGAAUCAGACAUGGCUGGGGGGUCAGUUAGGGUGUUGAUGCAGGUAUGUGCCACCAUGGCUCCACUCACACACUUACUGAUGCGAGGUUUACAAGCGUUGCUUUGGCUGGCAAACACUUGGGUCCUCUACCAAGUGUUUUACCGUAAGUCACAGAAGGGGAAGAGCUGUUUCCACUAGGACAUUCACUUUUUAGUGCGUAACCAAAACAAACACGCUUGAUAGGAUGUGUUUAUUUAUUUAUUUAUUUAUCUUUUUUUGUGGAUGUUGUGUUUGUCAUUGUUUAUUUAAUUUAAUGAGCUGAGGAGUUUAAUGUUUGGUGCCACAGGGCAUUUAGCGAAACUGACGUCAUCUGUGUGGCAUUUGCUUGGGUAAGAGGAGCGAGAGAGAGAGUGAAGGGUGUGUGUGUUUCUGUUUAAGAGAGCUAAGUCGCAUAGCAACAAUGAGGCAACGGUAUGAUUGCUUGCUCAUAGAGCUAAUUUACUUUAUAAUUAACUUUUCAGUAAAAACACUGCACUUGAAACUAACCUUGUCUGUGUG
rnacentral:lncRNA from 1 species